AUCGCCUUUAGAGCGGCCCGCGUCUGAUUAGCUAGUUGGUGAGGUAAAGGCUCACCAAGGCUACGAUCAGUAGCUGGUCUGAGAGGAUGACCAGCCACAUUGGACUGAGACACGGCCCAAACUCCUACGGGAGGCAGCAGUGGGGAAUCUUGCGCAAUGGGCGAAAGCCUGACGCAGCCAUGCCGCGUGGAUGAUGAAGGUCUUAGGAUUGUAAAAUCCUUUCACCGGUAAAGAUAAUGACUGUAGCCGGAGAAGAAGCCCCGGCUAACUUCGUG
rnacentral:rRNA from 1 species